rnacentral:rRNA from 1 species
AUGAACGCUGGCGGCGUGCCUAACACAUGCAAGUCGAACGGAGUCCAGCCUUUAAGACCUUCGGGUCAAAGAGGGGAAGACUGAGUGGCGGACGGGUGAGUAACACGUGGGCAACCUGGCUCAUAGAGGGGGAUAACAGAGAGAAAUUUCUGCUAAUACCGCAUAAGCACACACUGCCGCAUGGCAGAGGGUGAAAAGAGAAUCGCUAUGAGAUGGACCCGCGUCUGAUUAGCCAGUUGGCAGGGUAAGAGCCUACCAAAGCGACGAUCAGUAGCCGAUCUGAGAGGAUGAACGGCCACAUUGGGACUGAGACACGGCCCAAACUCCUACGGGAGGCAGCAGUGGGGGAUAUUGCACAAUGGGGGGAACCCUGAUGCAGCGACGCCGCGUGAGUGAAGAAGUAUUUCGGUAUGUAAAGCUCUAUCAGCAGGUAAGAUAAUGACAGUACCUGAAUAAGAAGCCCCGGCUAACUACGUG